rnacentral:rRNA from 1 species
GAUGAACGCUAGCGGCAGGCCUAAUACAUGCAAGUCGAACGGUGUAGCAAUACACAGUGGCGCACGGGUGCGUAACACGUAUGCAACCUACCUUACAUUGGGGGAUAGCCUUUCGAAAGGGAGAUUAAUACCGCAUAAGACAGUAACUAGGCAUCUAGUAGCUGUUAAAGAUUUAUCGAUGUAAGCUGGGCAUGCGUCCAAUUAGUUAGUUGGCGAGGUAAUGGCUCACCAAGACGAUGAUUGGUAGGGGAACUGAGAGGUCAAUCCCCCACACUGGCACUGGGAUACGGGCCAGACUCCUACGGGAGGCAGCAGUAGGGAAGAUUGGGCAAUGGGCGCAAGCCUGACCCAGCCAUGCCGCGUGCAGGAAGAAGGCGUUAUGCGUUGUAAACUGCUUUUAUACAGGAAGAAACGACCCUUGCGAGGGGCAUUGACGGUACUGUAUGAAUAAGCACCGGCUAACUCCGUGCCAGCAGCCGCCGUAACAC